rnacentral:rRNA from 12 species
GCCUACGGCCAUACCACCCUGAAUGCGCCCGAUCUCGUCCGAUCUCGGAAGCUAAGCAGGGUCGGGCCUGGUUAGUACUUGGAUGGGAGACCGCCUGGGAAUACCAGGUGCUGUAGGCAU